GUUGUAUGUGGUUAUAUUUCUGCAUAUUUUUGUGGAAUUUUCUUAUAAUAUCGUUUAUUUGUUUAAUAUUUGUUGAGUUUUUAAGCAUAUAAGGACUAUAUUACUAUAAUUACUUAUUUGGGUCCUAUACAAAGGCAGUAAUGACUUGUGAAGUGUGUUUUCGUAACCGUGUAAGAUGAGUGGUGGUAACAUUUGUAGCAUAGCUAUAUGUAAAAGCAACUCCAAAAUUCCUGAACCAGAUGGAAACAAAAUAAUGUUUUUGGACAUUUCCCAAAUACCUUAAAUUAUCAAACAAUAAUGGAUAAUAAAAUGUUACAAGAUAAAUGGGCCUCUGAACAUAAGAAAAUAGGUAGCAAACAUUUCCUCGUGUCUGAAUAUGUUAAUAUUAUGUUACGUCUUUUUUAUAUUUUAACCUAAUAAUAAAUUAUUUAUAUUAUUCGUUCUUUUGUUGUUGCAUACCACCAAAAAUGAUAAAAGUGCUGCACAUUCCACGAAAAACAUAAUAAGUAAGUACCUACAUAUUAGUAUUUUUGAUUUUAAACUUUUUCUUCUAUUUUUUUGGAUUUUUGUGCUAAUUAAAUUGUUUUCUCCAUUUAAAACACACAUAAUAAGUGUUAAAUGAAUUCUAGUUUUUUGUUAGCAGACUAUUGAUUUUUAAGGGAAAAAUUGAUAUAAUUACCAAUAUAAGAACCACUUAAAUAUACCUAUACCCAAGAAAAUCUCAAAAUAUAUUGCAAAACCUAAGUUUUUGAACCUUUUAUUAGCAUUGACUCUUAUGACAAUUUUAAAAUUGUCGUACGGAUGACGUAUUCCCGCCUUUAAAAAGCCAGCCUUUGAUUGGUCUACAGUUAUGAGACAACCUACGCCCUAAUCUAUUAACCUUGAGCCCUAUAGGGCUUUUCAUUCACAGUCACAGUCAUUUGUUUCGAGCUUCUGUCAUGUGUCACAUAAUAUUAAUAUAUCUACGUCAUACGUUAGUUAUUGGUAUUUUACUUAGACCCGUUUGCCAUUAUACUAAUUUCAGUACUAAAAAUAUUGGUUAGUUGCGCGAGUCGAUUUAGGCCCGGUCUUUUCACCUCCGAAUAAAUAUGCUCUUAUCUGGCAGUUAGCUAUCUGGAGUAUAAAUAUUUAUUCGCCAGAUAAAAUGUACCCGUCUUUUCACGUCAAUUUAUGUUCCAGUUAGUUAUCCGGUAGAUAAGCUUAAAAGUAAGUUUGGAUUCCGAACACACCUGACUUUUAUGUUUAUUUUUAUAAUUUCAGCUUUAACUUAACCUAACAUAAUUAGAUUCGAAGUAUUUCAAAGAUGAUUUUAUCGAUUUUAUUUCCAUUUUGGAAGAAGGAAUGAAGGAAAUAAGGAAAACAUUGAUUAUGCUGAAAUAGUUUACUGGAGAGCUUGAACAAGAGGUAAAUCCAUUUUAAAUUAGAGGAAAACUGUUGAUUUGUAUGUAAAAUAGAAGACAAAGACAAGUUUAAAUAAAGACAAGCUAGCUAAUGAAACAGAUGCAGUGAUAUGACAAACACCUAGAAGAUGGAAUCCUGUGUUCUCAAAGAAAAAGCUAGUUCCAGAAAUAAGCUACCAAUAAUAAACUAGAGAAUGUAUUACAAGAAAGAACAACGCUAAUACCCAACAUAGCUCAAUUGCUUCAGAUAGAAAAAGAGGAGGAAAGGGUAGAACACAAGCGUGCCAGAGAAAAUUAAAGGGCAGAAGAGACACAAAAAUUCAUUGAUUUAUUAAAUUUAAUAAUUAAAUUAUACAAAGGACAAUUAAAUAAAGAAUAAAAAAUUA